rnacentral:lncRNA from 1 species
AGCAGAACGAACAAGACCUGGCCAAUGGUGAUAGAUACAAAGAAGACAGGCUGCUAUUGCAAAUCUGGUCCUCCAGCAUCCACCUGUUCUCUGCACCUUCAGUACCCUUCAAUAAAUCACACCAUUUCUUAAAAAUAAAGGUGGACCUCAUCUGAUCAGUUGAAGUCUUGAAUAGAAUAAAAAGACUGACCCUCCCACGAGUAAGAGGGAAUCUCGCCUGCCUACCUGCCUGCCUUCAAACUGGGACAUUGGUUUUUUCCUGCCUUUAGACUCAAACUGAUCAUUGGCUCUUUGUGGGAUUCACGCCUGGCAGCCUUUGGACUGGAAAUACACCAUCAGCUCUCCGGGUCUCCAGCUUGCCAGCCCACCCUGCAGAUCGUGGGACUUGUCGGCCUCCACAAUCAUGUGAACUAAUUCCUUAUAAUAAGUCUCUUUCUGUAUAUAUAUAUAUUUUUUAUUGGUUCUCUUUCUCUCGGGGAUCUUGAUUAAUU